rnacentral:rRNA from 1 species
UACGUAGGCAGCGAGCGUUGUUCGGAAUUACUGGGCGUAAAGAGUGUGUAGGCGGUGCUCUAAGUUUGGUGUGAAAUCUCCCGGCUCAACUGGGGAGGGUGCGCCCGAAAACUGGAAUGCUUGAACAUGGGAGAGGAAAGCGGAAUUCCUGGUGUAGCGGUGAAAUGCGUAGAUAUCAAGAGGAACACCUGAGGUGAAGACGGGUUGCUGGGCUGACACUGACGCUGAGGAGCGAAAGCGUGGGGAGCGAACAGG